rnacentral:rRNA from 1 species
UACGUAGGUGGCAAGCGUUGUCCGGAAUCACUGGGCGUAAAGCGUACGCAGACGGCUUGGUAGGUCGGAUGUGAAAGCCCCGGGCUCAACCCGGGAAUUGCAUCCGAAACCACCUCGCUCGAGUGUGGGAGAGGGAAGCGGAAUUCCUGGUGUAGAGGUGAAAUUCGUAGAUAUCAGGAGGAACACCGGCGGCGAAGGCGGCUUCCUGGCCCAUUACUGACGUUCAGGUACGAAAGCGUGGGUAGCAAACAGG